GAUGAACGCUGGCGGCGUGCCUAAUACAUGCAAGUCGAGCGAACAGACGAGGAGCUUGCUCCUCUGACGUUAGCGGCGGACGGGUGAGUAACACGUGGAUAACCUACCUAUAAGACUGGGAUAACUUCGGGAAACCGGAGCUAAUACCGGAUAAUAUAUUGAACCGCAUGGUUCAAUAGUGAAAGACGGUUUUGCUGUCACUUAUAGAUGGAUCCCCGCCGCAUUAGCUAGUUGGUAAGGUAACGGCUUACCAAGGCGACGAUGCGUAGCCGACCUGAGAGGGUGAUCGGCCACACUGGAACUGAGACACGGUCCAGACUCCUACGGGAGGCAGCAGUAGGGAAUCUUCCGCAAUGGGCGAAAGCCUGACGGAACAACGCCGCGUGAGUGAUGAAGGUCUUCGGAUCGUAAAACUCUGUUAUUAGGGAAGAACAAAUGUGUAAGUAACUAUGCACGUCUUGACGGUACCUAAUCAGAAAGCCACGGCUAACUACGUG
rnacentral:rRNA from 1 species